rnacentral:lncRNA from 1 species
AGAAUGAGCAAAAGUUGCAGCACAGCGUGUCACCAGAGAGGAAAAGAAUAUCCUUGCUGUGCCAAGAAAGAAAAGACCAUGGAUCUACUAGUUGCAGAUUUCAGCAGUAAUGCCAAGGGGGCAAGAAGUGACCAGCAGAACAAUUAGGCCAUGGCAACAGAAGCCAACUACAACCCAUGUUCCAAUCUAUGACCUCCCUCUCCUGCUGGUACAAGGAUAUGUAUUCCUUAGAGCAAAGGAUGCAAUGUCAAGCAAGUUGUGAUACCUCAACUAUCUACAAUUUAACACCAAGGAAAGAACACUGUUUGGAGAAAUGAGAAAGAUUAUCAUCAGUGUCUUUCAGAAGUCAUCAAAAGAAGAAAAGGAGAAAAGAGAGGAGAAAGCAGAAAGAUCUGGAGUCUGGGAAGUUCAAGAGCAUGGCACCAACAUCUGGCAAGGGCUUUCAUUCUGCAUCAUCUCAUGGAGGAAAAUAAAAAGGAGGCUGGAUGCUCCUGUGAAGUACGUCUUUUAUCUACUUGCUAUCUUUGCAAUUCCUUCAUGCUACAAUGAGAGAUAGAGUUUAAACCUGAAAACAUUCUUGGAAAAGGAAUCUUCAUUAAUUCAAAUAUACCACAAGAUUCACCACCAUCACUACUCUAAGUAUUUUUCUUCUUGAGAAAGAGAAGGAGAGGGAAAGCAAGGAAGAGGAAGAGAAAGAGAAAUGGAUAAAAACAUGGUCAAGUAGAAGAGUCUGUGAUUUCAGGUAAAUCCAGAUUUGGAGCUUAAAUGACUCAAAUGCUUUGCCUACAUUGAUCCUACAUUCAGGCUGCUUACAUAUCUCUUGGCUUCUCUGAGAACCAGAUUGUCACCACUUAAAGUGUCUUCCAGAGUCCUCACGAGUAUCAGAGAAGGCAUAAUCUGUACACGUGGCUUCAUUUAAAAUGAAAAUAUCAAGCAGUGUCAUUUUCACAAGUAUCCCCACACUGUCUGAGGCUGAAAAGAAGAGUGUAGCUAUGCACACUGCAGUGAGAAGAAAAUUUCAGCUCAAUUGGAGGAUGUAAAGAUUGAAAUACCACUGCUCCUAGUUCUGAUGCAAAAUUGAAAAGAGUGCACUGGGUCUUCAAAUGGCAUAUUGACAAGGAGAAAGAGGAAAGGAUGCCCCAGGACAGCCUGGGGGUCAAGGCUGGGCUCAGGCAUGCCUGGACAAGCCAUGCAAGUUGUCUCCGGACUUGAACCACGUAUCAGAGGAGCUAUUUGAGGAGCCACAUCAGCAUACCUGCUUCUGUGGGCCCCCAGGCUGUGGUGCUCAGCCCUUGCACUAUGAAACAUUUUUUUUUUCCAGAAGCCAAAGCUUUGAGCAUCUCCUCCCAUGUAGAGAGUGUAUAUGUUUACGUCCAUGUCUUUCGCCAUGUGAACGCAUGCAACCACCACCUCAAAUAUCAUAAAUCCUCUCUCUCCCCCUUUCUGUCUGCCUGUUUAUCUACAAUCUGUCUAUUUAAAUUCUUUUUAAACAAGAAGGGAAUAUCUUUAUGCCUGUUUGUAGGGAUAUUCUACAUCCAUCUGUUAUUUACAUCAUUCGUUUUCCUGAGGUGUCUCCAACAAAUCCUGGCUGGAUGCACUGUAUGUGUUAUUAAUAAAACAGCUGUAAAAAUAUUAA